rnacentral:rRNA from 1 species
AACGAACGCUGGCGGCAUGCCUAACACAUGCAAGUCGAACGAGACCUUCGGGUCUAGUGGCGCACGGGUGCGUAACGCGUGGGAACCUGCCCUUAGGUUCGGAAUAACUCCCCGAAAGGGGUGCUAAUACCGGAUAAUGUCUUCGGACCAAAGAUUUAUCGCCUUUGGAUGGGCCCGCGUUGGAUUAGCUAGUUGGUAGGGUAAAAGCCUACCAAGGCGACGAUCCAUAGCUGGUCUGAGAGGAUGAUCAGCCACACUGGGACUGAGACACGGCCCAGACUCCUACGGGAGGCAGCAGUCGGGAAUAUUGGACAAUAGGCGAAAGCCUGAUCCAGCAAUGCCGCGUGAGUGAUGAAGGCCUUAGGGUUGUAAAGCUCGUUUACCCGGGAUGAUAAUGACAGUACCGGGAGAAUAAGCUCGGGCUAGCCCCGUG